CUCCUACGGGGGGCAGGCAGUGGGGAAUCGUUGCACAAUGGGGGAAACCCUGGAUGCAGCGACGCCGCGUGAGCGAUGAAGCCCUUCGGGGUGUUAAAGGCUCUUUCGUCGGGGAAGAGUAAUGACGGUACCCGGAGAAGCAGCUGCGGCUAACUACGUGCCAGCAGCCGCGGUAAUUC
rnacentral:rRNA from 1 species